AACAAAAACAUGUCCUUUUGAAAAUUAUAUAAGGUUUAACCUGCCCAAUGAUUUAUUUAAUGGCCGCAGUAUUUUGACUGUGCGAAGGUAGCAUAAUCAUUAGUUUUUUAAUUGAAAGCUUGUAUGAAUGGUUGGACGAAAUAAAUUCUGUCUCUAAUUAAAAUUUAGAAUUUUAUUUUUAAGUUAAAAAGCUUAAAUUUUUUUAAAAGACGAGAAGACCCUAUAAAGCUUUACAUUAUUUAUAAUUAUGUUUUUUAGGAUUUUUUAAUAGAUAAUUAUUUAUAUUGUUUGAUUGGGGAAAUUUAAAGAUUGAUAUAAUUCUUUAUUUAUUAAUUCAUAAAUUUAUGUUUAUAUGAUCCAAAAUUUUUGAUUAUAAGAUUAAGUUACUUUAGGGAUAACAGCGUAAUUUUUUUGGAGAGUUCAUAUCGAUAAAAAAGUUUGCGACCUCGAUGUUG
rnacentral:rRNA from 1 species